rnacentral:rRNA from 1 species
GAGGCGAACCGGGGGAACUGAAACAUCUAAGUACCCCGAGGAAAAGAAAUCAACCGAGAUUCCCCCAGUAGCGGCGAGCGAACGGGGAGGAGCCCAGAACCAUCAUCAGCUUGUGCAUCAGUGGAAGCGUCUGGAAAGUCGCAGGGUACAGGGUGAUACUCCCGUACACAAAGGUGCACAGGCUGUGAGUUCGAUGAGUAAGGCGGGACACGUGGUAUCCUGUCUGAAUAUGGGGGGACCAUCCUCCAAGGCUAAAUACUCCUGACUGACCGAUAGUGAACCAGUACCGUGAGGGAAAGGCGAAAAGAACCCCGGCGAGGGGAGUGAAACAGAACCUGAAACCGUGUACGUACAAGCAGUGGGAGCCUCUUUAUGGGGUGACUGCGUACCUUUUGUAUAAUGGGUCAGCGACUUAUAUUCUGUAGCAAGGUUAACCGUAUAGGGGAGCCGCAGGGAAACCGAGUCUUAACUGGGCGUUAAGUUGCAGGGUAUAGACCCGAAACCCGGUGAUCUAGCCAUGGGCAGGUUGAAGGUUGGGUAACACUAACUGGAGGACCGAACCGACUAAUGUUGAAAAAUUAGCGGAUGACCUGUGGCUGGGGGUGAAAGGCCAAUCAAACCGGGAGAUAGCUGGUUCUCCCCGAAAGCUAUUUAGGUAGCGCCUCGUGAACUCAUCUCCGGGGGUAGAGCACUGUUUCGGCUAGGGGGCCAUCCCGGCUUACCAACCCGAUGCAAACUGCGAAUACCGGAGAAUGUUAUCACGGGAGACACACGGCGGGUGCUAACGUCCGUCGUGAAGAGGGAAACAACCCAGACCGCCAGCUAAGGUCCCAAAGUCAUGGUUAAGUGGGAAACGAUGUGGGAAGGCCCAGACAGCCAGGAUGUUGGCUUAGAAGCAGCCAUCAUUUAAAGAAAGCGUAAUAGCUCACUGGUCGAGUCGGCCUGCGCGGAAGAUGUAACGGGGCUAAACCAUGCACCGAAGC